rnacentral:lncRNA from 1 species
CAAGGUAAGGGUGAGAUAAAUCUUAAGGGGGUACUAGUCUAAAAUUCAAAGACACAAAAGAGACUUGAAAGAAACUGCAGGAGUUGAAUUUACAAAAUAUUUCAUUCACUUCAAUAACUCUAUAGUAAUUGUUUUCUCUUCUCCUUCCUCUUUUUAUUCAUUUUUUAGAAGGAGUAUGUAUUGAAUGUAUUGACAUCCUUCUAUUUUUUUCAUUCAUUUUUUUCUUUUUCUAUUUUUUUUUCUUUUUCUGCGAAAUUCUGAAAUAUUACAAACAUAAUGGUUCAACCCCACACAACUCCAAACAAGAAUCUUUCAACCCUUUGAAUAAGAUGAUAACAUU